UGUCAAAUGUCAAAAUGAAUAAUGUCAUUGUACUGAAGCUAUUUGAGAGAGCACGAUAAUUAAUAUGAACUUUUCCGAAAAAUUACGAAGGACAGACCCAUGGUCUAAAUGGCGUUACUUAGUCGCACCCUUAAUCACCAAUGCGAUCGUCACCCGUCGUCUCGACACUAUACCUAGUCUUCGUUCUUCUGUAGCGGCGUUCGUUUUGCUCAUUGACUGAUUUUUCAAAAAACUAACUGUAAACUCAUGUAAUUACAUUGAAAUAUAAUGCCAAUGUUCACUCACA